AAGUCGUAACAAGGUCUCCGUUGGUGAACCAGCGGAGGGAUCAUUACCGAGUCUGACAACUCCCAAACCCCUGUGAACAUACCACGUCUGUUGCUUCGGCGGACCACCCCCGCCUAACCUCGGGGGCCCGCCAGAGGACCCCAAAUCCAACUGUAUUUUGUUUUUUUCUGUAAUUCUUAAAACGUAUUCUGAGUGGAUUUUUUAAAAUCAAAUCAAAACUUUCAACAACGGAUCUCUUGGCUCUG
rnacentral:misc_RNA from 1 species